rnacentral:rRNA from 1 species
UACGUAGGUGGCAAGCGUUGUCCGGAUUUACUGGGCGUAAAGAGCGCGCAGGCGGUCGUCCAAGUCGCGUGUGAAAGCCCCCGGCUCAACUGGGGAGGGUCACGCGAUACUGGUCGACUCGAAGGCAGGAGAGGGUAGUGGAAUUCCCGGUGUAGUGGUGAAAUGCGUAGAUAUCGGGAAGAACACCCGUGGCGAAGGCGGUUCUCUGGGACGGUACUGACGCUGAGACGCGAAAGCGUGGGGAGCGAACAGG